rnacentral:rRNA from 1 species
AUACGUAGGGGGCGAGCGUUGUCCGGAAUGAUUGGGCGUAAAGGGCGCGUAGGCGGCGCGGUAAGUCUGGAGUGAAAGUCCUGCUUUCAAGGUGGGAAUUGCUUUGGAUACUGCCGCGCUUGAGUGCAGGAGAGGUUAUCGGAAUUCCCGGUGUAGCGGUGAAAUGCGUAGAGAUCGGGAGGAACACCAGUGGCGAAGGCGGGUAACUGGACUGCAACUGACGCUGAGGCGCGAAAGUGUGGGGAGCAAACAGGAUUAGAUACCCUGGUAGUCCACACUGUAAACGGUGAAUGCUAGGUGUAAGAGGUAUCGACCCCUUUUGUGCCGGAGUCAACACAAUAAGCAUUCCGCCUGGGGAGUACGGCCGCAAGGUUGAAACUCAAAUGAAUUGACGGGG